AAAAUAAAAAUAAAACUUAGAAUUUACCCUCCAGUUUCUCAGCGCAUCCUUUGCCCUAAACCUUUCUCACGUCCCCUUUCCCUGCUCCCUUCAUACUUCUCCUCAUCUUCCAUUCCACAGGCGACGGCGUGGGCGGCGACACUCUAUUCUACCGGCGUCGACACUCCUUCUCUCCUCUGCUCUUUCUUCUUGAACUCGCACAAAAUUCACGAAAUUGAGAACGAAAUUCAGUCCAUUCUAAAAUUCUACCGCUAGCCCCCAGUCUUCCAGUUUUAAUUUGGUGAAACAAGAAACCGCUGAAACCAAAACCCUAAAAAAGAAAAUGAUUAACGAACACCUCUCGUCGAUCAGUUGCUCAAUCUUAGUCUGGUACCUUUGAAAUUCUCAUGGUACCUUCAACACUCCAUUGAAAUCGAAAUUCUCACAGUACCCUAUGAAUUGCGGAAGAUUACAAGCUUUCUCACUUUCACGAACUAUCCAUGCAGUUCUAUAUCAAGUGAAAAAAUGGGUGGAAACCAAUGGUGUCUAAGUGGAAAAUUGAAUAUAGUGGUUCUAGCUUACAGUGGGGGCUGAGGCUGAUUCCAAUGGAGAUGUUCGUGGGAGAAUUAUCAAUGCUGGCAUAUUGAUCAUAUACAAACAUGGGAGAGAUAGUGUUUCCUUGUUAUUUUGAAUAUUUGAGAACUAUCUCAAUAAAAAGGCUUCUGAUGAGGAAAUGUACGAUCUUGUCCGUGAAGGUACGGUGUAGCUUGCGAAAUAUUUGGGAAAGGAUGACCCUAAAGUCCAUUCGGUUGUUGAGAAGUUUCUUUGAUGUGCUCAAUACUCCCUUUGAAGCUGUGCAGAGGGUUGUCUCAUCUUGCUUGUCUCCACUAAUGCCAUCUAAAUAGGUAUCCAGAAUAUCGCCAACUUAGUGUUUCCUAUGGAUAAUUUUUUACCUGUGCAUAGCAUUUGGGCAUGGAUUUCUAGACCCUACAGGAUUUGAUGAGGUUUAAUAAGCCACUAAAACAUAGCUUAUUGUAACGCCCCGACCUCUAACUCAUUAAUUAAAGCAUAAUUAGCAGCGGAAUUAACCUAAUUGGUCGGGACAUUACCUGCCGUAACUUCCUUUUCGGAAAUUACAAGGCAAACAUCAAUCAUAAGACUUUAAAUACUCCAAAAUAUAUAUAAUAAUCCUUUAUAUUAUCAAAAUAAAAGUGCAUGACUUACUAAAAGUCUUUAAUUAAAACUAUUAAAACUUUAAGCAUAAACUAGGUGAAUAUUAUUAAUGUGAAAUUCCUCGCCACUACUCGUGUCCAUCGUCCCCAUCAGUACCUAAAACAGAAAACAAAAACGGUGAGCCGAAGACUCAGUAACGAACUAUUCUAGCAGCGUAAAUUCAUUUCAAUUCAUUUUAUUUAAUAACAUAGGGAGAAUAGAAUGGGUAAAACAUUUAAUAAAACAUCAUAUUUAAUUCAUUCAUAAACUUUGCAAUUUAACAUGCUAGUUGUCGGCAAGUACGAACCGUGAAGGAAUUCUCCACUGGGCCUGGGCCCAUAAGAGCCUGGGCUCAUCAUCGUAACGUGGGCCUGGGCCCUGAGCCCUGAGCCUGGGCUCAUAAACCAUGGGAGCUUGGGCUCGUAAUCCAUGGGUGGACAGGUGUCUGUGGUGCAUGCAUGACCGAUAGAUAGGAAGAUGGUAGUUUAUAUACCGUCAGACAAACCAAGUCUUUCACUUUCAUUUUAUCAUGUUUUAUGUAUUUUUACUAAGCCUUGGCUUGUAUUUCAGUUCGUAAUAACAUAACUCAUUUAGCUCAUAAAACAUCAUUUUGAUCCUGGGAUCAAUAAACAUAUUAUUUCUUUCAAAGCAUUGCAUAAACAUAAUUUUAUGAGAAAACUCAAUCAAAUCAUAUUAUAAUAAACAAUUCAAACAAAUCAUAUUUCAUCCCCACAAUCCAUAAAACACAUCAAAACAUUUAAUUCAUAAAACAUGUCAAAACAUUCAGUUCAUAAAUCAAUCAUAACGUUGUAAUUUCAUAAACGAAUUUAUAAGGGAAUUGCGGGUACUAGCAAUAGCCGUUACCUCACUUCCACGAUUUUGUUAAGGAUUUUCGUUGGUUCGUUCGUCCUGAGCUCCGAGUCCAAUUUCUUUCAAGAUAUUAAAUAAUUGAAUUAGUACUAGAUCGAUAAAUAAUUUAAAAUCAAUAUUUUAUAAAUCAUAAAUUUUAUAAGUAAUGAAUUUUAUAAGUAACGAAUUUUAUAAAUAACGAAUUUUAAUAAAAUUAUAAUUUCGAAAUUUAACGAAAAUGUUAUUAUUAAUCGAAUUUUCAAUCGAAAUACAUAUAUAUAUUUUAUAAUCGAUUUUCAUGUAAAUAAUAUUAAAAAUUCCGUUUUUGUUAAUUCAGGCUAGUAAUUUAUUUUAGUAAAAACGAUAAUAAAACCUGAAAAUAAUAAACAAUUCAUUAGUAAAUAAUUAUAUGAUAAAACUUUGUUAAAACAUGAAAAUUAGUAAUUAGGAAAUAUGAAAGUAACAAUUCAGUUUUCAACUUACCAAGGCCCAAUUGAAAUGGCCCAAAUCCUUAAAUUGGGUUUUAAAGAAAAUAAAAACCCAAAGUUUACAAUCUGAUUUUUGUUUGCCUUUUGGUUUUUUUUGGGAAAGGCACGACCAAAAACAGAGGAGAAAGGGAGGAGAGGAGGAGGGAGGAAGAGAGCGUGGAGGCUGGCUGGGCGGCUCAGUGAAAAGAUGAUGCGCCGGUGAAGGCGACGGCGAUGGUGACGGUGGUGGAGCGGCGGCGCAGCAGUUAAGGGGGGGGGGGUGGUGAUUUCCGAAACAGGGGAAGCAGGGGAGGGGAAGGUGCGAGGGAGAGGGAGAGGGAGGACGACGGGGUGGUUCUGGGCGGUGGUUUGGUGGACGUGGUUGUUGAUGGUGGUCGGAGGAGUAGAGUGGUGCUGGUGGUGUGGUGGUGGCGUGGGGCGAAAGAGGAGGAAAGGGAGAGGGGACAGGGGAGUGUCGAAGGAGAAGAGCAGGGACGAGGGGUGGAGUGUGCAGUGGUGCUGGGGGCGACGGUGGUCAGGAUGGUUGAGGUGGUUGUUGUUGGUGGUAGGUGAUGGUGGAGAUGGUGGACGGUGGUGGCAGUGGCUGCCGGUGGUGGUGGUGGUUCGAAUUAAAGAAGAACUAAGGGGAGUUUAUUUUCAGUUUUGUGAAUUGAUUUUGGUAUUGAAAUGUAUCAGAAAUUUGAUGGAAUUUGUAAAUUUUGGAAUGAUUCUAGAAGGGGGAAGGCCUUGGGGCUCAAGCAAUUGAACAUGGACUGAUUUGAGGGAAGGAGAGGAAGUCAAAACUUCCUGGUUCAUGCGUGGAGAGCAAGGGAAAUAAAGCAGAAAUUUUUCCCCUUUUUUACUUUUUUAUUUUUUUUAUUCAAUAAAUUCACAAUUUUGGCAAAAUUCAGAAAUUGUUUGUAAUUUUCAGAAAUUGGUAAAAAUAGAAAUGUUUAUUUAAAAUAAUUUCUUAAAAAUUAUCGUUAACGAAAAAAAAUAAAUAAUUUCAGUUUAGAAAUUUAUCGUUGAAAAAUAAGUCGUAAAAACGAUUAAAAUAACGAAAUUUGAUUAUUCGUAAUUAUUUAAAACGAAAUUAAGUUAAUAAAUAUUUUUUAUUUUAAUAAAUCGAAUUUAAAAUUUCGGGGUAUUACACUUAUGCUGACCCAAUUGCCGAAUGUGACCACCAACUUGUCCUUACAUUGCUUGUGGCACAUUUUCCACUUCUAUCGCAAUGUAAAUCAGCAGGAGAUCUGAUCAGCUUCUGAUCUGAUCAGUAGCAGAUCAGCAGCAGCAGAUCCGUAGCUGAUUAGAUCAAUAGAUGAUCAGAUCAUCAGCAGAUCAACAACUUAUCUGAGCAGUCUCUGAUCUGAUCAGCUACUGAUCUGCUGCUGUUGAUCUGUUGCUGAUCAGAUCAGCAGUAGUAGAUCAGAAACUGAUCUGAUCAAAACAUCGAAUGCUAGUUAUGAUGAUUUAUGUGAUUGUAGAAUUAACAAGUAAUGUGGUCUUGACUUGUUCUAUUUUACUUGAAUGAAGAAAUAAGUGCUCCAUUGGCAUUAAGAAAAUGUUUUAUCGAUAUGUUAUACCGUUACUGUUAUUGGCUUUGCCUAAAUCUAAGGAUAAGUUGAAGGAAAUAAUGCCCUUGGUCCAAGUAUGCAUUCAAUGUUAAGUCUAAUAAAUGCGGUUCAGUAUUAAUUAACAAGUUAAUAAUUCAGUGAGAUCAAGUGAGCUGAAUGCCUAGCUAGAGGCCGCUUCAGUUCAAGUGGAAUUAAUGAUAUUAAUCCACAGCUUACUCUUGACUGAACCCGUAGGGUCACACAAAUAGUACGUAAACGGAUCAAGUAUUUAAUGGCAUUAAAUACUCCAUCUAUGGAUAUUCGGAAUCAACGGAUCUUGGUUUCAGUGGGAGCUGAGAUCGUCACAGGCAAGAAAUGAAUACUCCGGAAACGAUGAUAUUGCCGGAAACGGAAAUAUGGAUCGUAUCGGAAAUAUAAAUAUUAUCCAAGUCGUAGAUGUUGCCGGAAACGGAAACAUGGUACGUAUCGGAAAAUAUUAUCGGAAAUGGAAAUAUUGCCGGAAUCGGAAAUAUUGCCGGAAACGGAAAUAUUGUCAGAAUCGGAAAUAUUAUCUGAAUCGGAAAAUAAUUCCGGAAACGGGAAUUUAAUUCCGGAAAUGAAUUCCGGAAUCGGGAAUUUAAUCGGAAGCGUAUCGCACGAAUUAGCAUCGGACGAGGCCCGCUAGACGAAGGCCCAGCACGAAGCCAGGCCGUCGCCCAGCGAGCUAACGCGCACCAUCGCACGCCAAGCCUCGACCAGGCCCAGCGCAAGGCCAGGCCCAGCCAAGGCCUUGGGCGCGCGCGCGAGAGCACAGCAGUGGGCCGAGCGCUGUGCGCCUAGCGUGGGCCGGAAGGCUUGCGCGGGUGUACGGUGCUCGUGCAAUGCUUGUGCGGGAAUCCUGAAGCAAUCAGGAUUCGAAGUGUGAUUAAAUCCUAAAACUAUUAGAUAAUGAUUAUUUAUUUAGAGUCCUAGUAGGGUUAUAAUUAAAUAAAUUAGUAUCCUAAUAGGAUUCCAAAACCCUUUCCAUAACUCUAUAAAUAGGUGCCUAGGGUCACAUAUUUUCAGAGAUUAAUUCAAGUAUUCAAAGUGAGUUUUUGAGAGAAAAUUCAGACACAUUUCUUGACUAUAAGUGCCGAAAAUCUUUAGUACCUUAAGGGCGUUUCUAGUUGGUCAAUCUUAAGGCGGAUCCGGACGUGCUGUGGACUAUCUAUGGAGGGACGACACUUGGAGUCCUAAAGACUUGUUCUUUUUCGGUUCGGGCGCAGCUAGGGAAGCCACGCAACAAAGAGCGAUAAUUACUUAGGAGAUACGCAAGGAGACUACUAGUUCGAAAUACGCGUGUGUUCAAGCCCGUAAGGGUUUGGAACAGGUUGCCCUUCUAGAUGUUGUUCUAUCGGUGCACUUCAGUGGAGACCCGGUUUUCAAAACUCCAAGGGAGGGGUCCUUUACCAAAGAGGAGUUGGAUGAAGUUCGAGACAUGUGGGCUACUUACUUCAACGAUUGUAAACUACCCUCAGUGUAAAUAGAGUAGGCUUGUAGUUAUCUGUGACUCUUACAUUACUUUGUUAUUUAUUGAUUUAAUUAAUUACAUUUGAAUUAAUUCGGUAAUAUUUUUGGAAUUUGAAAUUUAUAUCAUUUUUGAGGAAUGUCAAGCUGAUGUUUGGUGAAACAUUAUUCUAUAAAUUAUAAUGCAGAAUUUUAUAUUGCAAAAUCAGAAAUUAUAUUGCAGAAUCAGGAAUUAUAUUGCAGAUUUAAAAAAAAAAAAAAAAAAAAAAAAAAAAAAAAACUCAAAAGUUGCAACUUAUGUGAAGCUUAUAAGUUGCCCUUGUUUGCAACAAGGGAAACUUAUAAGCUUCACAUAAGUUGCUCUUGUUGCAAACAAUGGCAACUUAUAAGUUGGAGGAAGUACAAAUACAUAUCAGAACAAAAGACAAAAUAGGAAAAAGGACAAAAAUAAUAAUUAAAUGGUACUUUUCUAACACAAAUGGUACUUUUUUUACAAAAUGGUACUUUUUUUUACAGAAUGGUACUUUUUUUACAUGAAUGGUACUUCCUUUUUUGUCUUUUAGCUAUUUGUCUUUUAGUUGAUAUGUGUGUUUCCACACAUAUCAGAUAUGCGAAAAAACGAACCCUUAUAAGUUGCCCUUGUUAAGGGCAACUUUUGAUAAUUUGCCAAAAGUGACCCAGCUAUAUGUUGCCCUUAUAAAGGGCAACUUAUAAUCCUAUUUAAGGGAAACUUAUGAUGUUUUUUCCUCUAGUGGGGUGUUACACGAAUUUAGGGGUGGAUUACAUCCGUCAUUAAAAACCUCAUCGCUGAUUCGAGUUAGGGACUGUAUCGAUAAUAUUCGUUUCUAAAUUUAGCUCCCACUAGUCGUUAAUCAUGGGAGCUCACAAAAGAUAUAAUGUUUUUCUGCACUUGAUUCAAUCCAUCCUAUGGCACUACACUAAGUAUAGUAGCACACACGGGGAUAAGUAUGGGGUCAAACUCUGGGGGAUCAAACGUUUUCUACACUAGCAAGGGACAUGCACUCACUAGACACUUUACUUGGUCACAACAACCAACUUACCAACACUAGUAGAAAAAAUAUCAAAGGUGGCGCUUGAAAUAGGCUUAUAGGUGGCGCUUUAUAAGGACAUCAUAUGGCAUGGUCACAUUUGUGAAAUUUACAAAAGUUGCGCUGGACAAGCGCAACAUAUAAGCUUCAACCUUUAAAUUACUUUCACAAAUUUGGAUUUAACGAACGCUUCGUAUAUGACAAGUCGAAUCAAAUUAAAGGUUACUUUGGCCAAAAUUAUAAUGAUUGAGUUCGUUGGACAUCUCUCGUAUUUCGUAUAUAAGGAUGAAAUAUAGAGUUUUUUGGAGAAGAUAAUAUAACGAUUUGUUUGUACCCACGAGAGAAAAAUACCUUAGAAGUUAGAAGACCCGCGUAAUACUAGUAUUUUAUUCAGUAUUAAGUUGCAAAAACCAAAAAUUAAAAUUAAUUAAAUUUGGUUAGGUGUAGAAGUCCUUCCAAGUUAGGGUGUACAUCAUUCCACUAUAGAAAGUCAAAGCCUACUAAUAUCAUCAUUCAAAGCAAAGUACCCAAACGUGUUCUUACCUUCCUUCCAUUCUAGUCAUUCAAAAGUUCAACAUCUAUCUUCAACAUUUCUCUGCUAUAAAUUCAACAUUUAACUCCUUUUCUCUCUUAAAAUUUCCAACUACUGGAAGAUCUGUACAUAUAUUAUAUAUAUAUAGUAAGUUGGUGUAACGUAUGCUGCUGUGGGGGUGGUUGUCGAAAAUGUAUCGAUCAGCUAGUGCUUCACGGGUUGCCGAUGAGUUCUCGACGUCUGAUGAUAAUGAGCUGCCGCUGUACAGAGAAGUCAGCAAGAAACAGAGUGGUUUGCAGAGAAGGUUAACUUUGCCUGCAGAAUAUGUAAUUCAUCUCAUUCCUGUUGUUCUUUUUCUUUGUGUUUUUAUUCUUUGGUUCAAUUCUCAUCCUACUCAUAAAGUCUGAUUCUUUUAGGAUGUAUACAAAUUUAUUAUCGGAACUUUAUGUUCAUGUUUUGAAAUUUUUUAUUUUGGA